rnacentral:rRNA from 1 species
CUGGCUCAGAUUGAACGCUGGCGGCAGGCCUAACACAUGCAAGUCGAGCGGUAGCACAAGAGAGCUUGCUCUCUGGGUGACGAGCGGCGGACGGGUGAGUAAUGUCUGGGAAACUGCCUGAUGGAGGGGGAUAACUACUGGAAACGGUAGCUAAUACCGCAUAACGUCUUCGGACCAAAGUGGGGGACCUUCGGGCCUCACGCCAUCAGAUGUGCCCAGAUGGGAUUAGCUAGUAGGUGGGGUAAUGGCUCACCUAGGCGACGAUCCCUAGCUGGUCUGAGAGGAUGACCAGCCACACUGGAACUGAGACACGGUCCAGACUCCUACGGGAGGCAGCAGUGGGGAAUAUUGCACAAUGGGCGCAAGCCUGAUGCAGCCAUGCCGCGUGUGUGAAGAAGGCCUUCGGGUUGUAAGCACUUUCAGCGAGGAGGAAGGGUAGUGUGUUAAUAGCACAUUGCAUUGACGUUACUCGCAGAAGAAGCACCGGCUAACUCCGUGCCAGCAGCCGCGGUAAUACGGAGGGUGCAAGCGUUAAUCGGAAUUACUGGGCGUAAAGCGCACGCAGGCGGUUUGUUAAGUCAGAUGUGAAAUCCCCGCGCUUAACGUGGGAACUGCAUUUGAAACUGGCAAGCUAGAGUCUUGUAGAGGGGGGUAGAAUUCCAGGUGUAGCGGUGAAAUGCGUAGAGAUCUGGAGGAAUACCGGUGGCGAAGGCGGCCCCCUGGACAAAGACUGACGCUCAGGUGCGAAAGCGUGGGGAGCAAACAGGAUUAGAUACCCUGGUAGUCCACGCUGUAAACGAUGUCGACUUGGAGGUUGUGCCCUUGAGGCGUGGCUUCCGGAGCUAACGCGUUAAGUCGACCGCCUGGGGAGUACGGCCGCAAGGUUAAAACUCAAAUGAAUUGACGGGGGCCCGCACAAGCGGUGGAGCAUGUGGUUUAAUUCGAUGCAACGCGAGAACCUUACCUACUCUUGACAUCCAGAGAAUUCGCUAGAGAUAGCUUAGUGCCUUCGGGAACUCUGAGACAGGUGCUGCAUGGCUGUCGUCAGCUCGUGUUGUGAAAUGUUGGGUUAAGUCCCGCAACGAGCGCAACCCUUAUCCUUUGUUGCCAGCGCGUAAUGGUGGGAACUCAAAGGAGACUGCCGGUGAUAAACCGGAGGAAGGUGGGGAUGACGUCAAGUCAUCAUGGCCCUUACGAGUAGGGCUACACACGUGCUACAAUGGCGUAUACAAAGAGAAGCGAACUCGCGAGAGCCAGCGGACCUCAUAAAGUACGUCGUAGUCCGGAUCGGAGUCUGCAACUCGACUCCGUGAAGUCGGAAUCGCUAGUAAUCGUAGAUCAGAAUGCUACGGUGAAUACGUUCCCGGGCCUUGUACACACCGCCCGUCACACCAUGGGAGUGGGUUGCAAAAGAAGUAGGUAGCUUAACCUUCGGGAGGGCGCUUACCACUUUGUGAUUCAUGACUGGGGUGAAGUCGUACAGGGGGAACC